rnacentral:rRNA from 1 species
UACGUAGGUGGCAAGCGUUGUCCGGAUUUACUGGGCGUAAAGGGAGCGUAGGCGGACUCUUAAGUGGGAUGUGAAAUACUCGGGGCUCAACCUGAGUGCUGCAUUCCAAACUGGGAGUCUAGAGUGCAGGAGGGGAAAGUGGAAUUCCUAGUGUAGCGGUGAAAUGCGUAGAGAUUAGGAAGAACACCAGUGGCGAAGGCGACUUUCUGGACUGUAACUGACGCUGAGGCUCGAAAGCGUGGGGAGGCAAACAGGAUUAGAUACCCGUGUA